AAAAAAAAUUCUCUGAAAUGCUAUAUCUUUUGAAAUCCUCUAAAUAUUUCAAAUUUUUUUUCUUUAAAAUCUAUAUCUGGAUUGGUGAAAUUUCUGGAUAAUUCUAGGUUUCAAUCUAGGUUUCAAGCUAUGUUACUCAAUCUGAUAGCAUGAUAUCCUUAUCCAUGRUGGAUGAUUACUGUCUUCUGUACUGAUUGACUGGACCUUGAUGGUGCUGCAUUAUCUGACAAGGCUUUGCAGCACAACAGGAUUGGCCCAAAAGAGGUUGAAAUCAUCACAAGACAAUCAAUAUUGACACCUGACUGUAACAGUAAGCCACCUGUAAAAAGGGAAAAUGCUAUUUGUUUAGGGACAUAAUAAUUACAUAAAGAUUAUUUCACUAAAAUACAAAGUGCUAAAAGCCAUGGGUGAUGCAUUAGAUAUUGCAUGGCAUGGCACUUGUUCACCUAUGUUAAACAUUUGACAUAAUUGAAAGACAUCACAUAGCUCAACUUACUUGACUGUCCUUGCAAGCAGACUCAACCAAAACUUGACAGCUUCAUGAGGCAAUUGACUGACACUUGCUCUAAUAUCAGGAUUCAUCUGAGAUCAACAACCCUCUACCACAGGGUUACCAUAAUGGGUUAAAGACCUUGAUAAUCAGGUCAAUGCUUGAGGUCAAUACUCCUACAGCAACAAGCAAUAAGGUGGGUCCAUAUUCUUGUGAAGGCUACAGUGUCAUCACCAGGUUACCAGUUCAAUUAUCUUCUUGAUAUUCACUUCGAAAUUCAUACAGCAACAAGGUGAGUCUAUAUUUUUAUGAAGGUCAAAGGGUCAUCACCAGGUUACCACAUCAUAAUUAAUCAGGGCAAUACUCAUACAUUAACAAGGUGAGUCCAUAUUGUUAUCAAAGGCUUUUGUUUUAAUGCAGUUAACCAUCAUUACAGCAUUGAUACUGGUUGUUGGUUGGUGUGAUAUAUUAUUGGUUAGAGUCGAGGUGCAGUAUGGCUAUCAGGCUCGAAUGUCAGUUUAUACAUCAACAGCCAUCUUGAGUACAGGCUCACAAGACAGUCUUACAGUCUUAUGGAGAGUUUUCAUAAAAUAUAUAAUUUUAUAACUGCAAAACAAAAUAAGAUAAAUUUAUUAGGAUACUGUUUAGGAUUUUGGUUGUUCUUUGGUUCUAAUCCGGGAUGGGAGGUGGAAAGUACCACGAGCCAAAUUUCAUGUAUGUUUCAAAAUAUAUAAAAAAACUCAAAAUAACCAAUUGUUAAACAUGGGAAUGGUUCAAAACUUUCUAAGAUUGUUUUUUUAUAACAGGUUUCAUUGUUUCUUGCAGAAAAAGUGGAAUUUCCAGGGUUCAAAUUCAACACGUGUUAUGGCGGACAAAGCCGCCAAAAGAACCAUCGUGUUUUGCACCCGUUGAAACACAUCCACAACGAACAGCAGCGUGCAACAAAUGAAGAGGUGACAUACACAGGGACUGGUUCUAGCAUUUUACACAGGGAUCCCGCUGAAAAAUGAAAUUUUUGGCGAAAAAAUAACGAACAGUUAGCGGUUUUUGGUCAUUAUUUUUUGCCCAAAAUGUAGGAAUUAAAGAGAAGAGGCUAUGUUAGGACUCUACGAAUCAUAAAACCCCGAUAAAAUGCCUAUUUUAGGCAAAAAAUGUUAAUAUGCAAAUUAGACACGUGACUUGUCACGUGAUCAAAAAUUUKGUGAUUUUUAGGUCAGUUUUUCAUUGUUUUUAUCACAAAAACUAUAAUUUGGUGGGCAUGAGUUGAUUUCAUUUAAGGUGUUUUAUUCAAUAAAGAAGUUUAUAAUAAAAGAAUAUUAAACCUU